UAAAAAUUGCAAAAAAUUUAAUAAAUAAAAAAAAAAUUCUAAAAACUAAAAGUCUAAAGUUGUAAUAGGCAUUCCAUCCGCAUGUUCCGAUUUGGUUUCGUCACAAAUUUUUCUCUUUUUCUCUAAUUUUUCUUGUUCUUCUCUGCAACUUUGUCAACCCUCAACUCCCUGCAACUUUCCAAAAAGAGUUUGGUUAGAGAAGCAUGAACAAUAUCGGUCUAAACAUAACAUACCCAUAUGUUUCUUUAGCUUCAGUUGGAGAAAAUGAGUUGAAUUUGUAUCAAGCUAUGUAGGGUCUUUCACUGUAAAAAUUUGCAAAGUUGUUCUGCAAACCAGCAUGACAAAUUAAAUUAUAAUUUAAAUGUAUCAAGCUGUUGUUUUAGUGUUUCAAAUUGAGCAUUUUCAUGCUAUCAUAAUUUUCUUUCUUGAAUUUAAACUGUGAGAGAUUCAAUAGGCUUCAUUCAUUAGAGCUGCUCAAGAGGGGCCUUCUUUCAUGCAGGUUCAUUUGAUUCCCUGCAGCUUUUGGUUACUUAAUCUUACCAUCUGUUUCUUUGGACAAUUAAAAGGGUUUAGAUGAAACCAAGAUAUCAAUUUGCUUCAUUACAUUUACAUCUUUGCUUAUAUUAGAUUCUUGGCUUUAUAAGUUAGUCUUUAAGGCUGAAUUCGUGAAUCGGUGGUCGAGUACAGACCACAUCCGAAGUUUCGGUUACAAAAUAUGGUGAAUCUAAGUUAAUUUACUGGCAAUUUAGCUGGCUAAUAAAAUCGAAAUGAUAUGCAGAUUUAUAUAUCAGACAAAAGGAACAAAAUACCAAACACAGAAUCCUGCAUAAAACAUAUAUGCCAACUAGUUGGAAAGCUAACCAUAUGAAUGUGUUUGAGCAUCACUCCUAUUUAGAUUAAUUGUUGUUUAAGAUCAGGCUAAGUUCAUUAAGGUCGAAACUAAGUGUGACUAGUGGUCAAGCCCAAGUUCAUUUCUAGUCAAAGUUGAUGUUGGAUUUUUAAAGGUCCAAAAGAUUCAAACUCCACAUGAGUUUAAGUCUUAGGCGCAACUGCGCAAGGAGGCCUUCACUACUCCCAUAUGAUUUUUGAAAAUGCUUAUAGUUUUGUCCUAUAGUUUAAAGCGAGAGACAUGGACGAAGAUGCUUUACUAUUAAGUUGUGGAAUUUUAGACUGAAAUGUAUUCAUUUAAUACCUUGUUCUGCAAUUUUGCUUUCUUUUAUCAUUUGGAGCUUUAAUAUUAGACUGAAAUGUAUUCAUUUAAUAUCUAUGUAAAGUUUGAAAUUUUAAGUAUGAAAUUGCUGAACUGAA